rnacentral:rRNA from 1 species
ACGGAAGGCAGCAGUGGGGAAUAUUGCACAAUGGGGGAAACCCUGAUGCAGCGACGCCGCGUGAGUGAAGAAGUAUUUCGGUAUGUAAAGCUCUAUCAGCAGGAAAGAAAAUGACGGUACCUGACUAAGAAGCCCCGGCUAACUACGUGCCAGCAGCCGCGGUAAUACGUAGGGGGCAAGCGUUGUCCGGAAUGACUGGGCGUAAAGGGCGUGUAGGCGGCCUGAUAAGUCUGGAGUGAAAGUCCUGCUUUUAAGGUGGGAAUUGCUUUGGAGACUGUCGGGCUUGAGUGCGGAAGAGGUAAGUGGAAUUCCCAGUGUAGCGGUGAAAUGCGUAGAGAUUGGGAGGAACACCAGUGGCGAAGGCGACUUACUGGGCCGUAACUGACGCUGAGGCGCGAAAGCGUGGGGAGCGAACAGGAUUAGAUACCCUGGUA